rnacentral:rRNA from 1 species
GAUGAACGCUGGCGGCGUGCCUAAUACAUGCAAGUCGAGCGAACGGACGAGAAGCUUGCUUCUCUGAUGUUAGCGGCGGACGGGUGAGUAACACGUGGAUAACCUACCUAUAAGACUGGGAUAACUUCGGGAAACCGGAGCUAAUACCGGAUGAUAUUUUGAACCGCAUGGUUCAAAAGUGAAAGACGGUCUUGCUGUCACUUAUAGAUGGAUCCGCGCUGCAUUAGCUAGUUGGUAAGGUAACGGCUUACCAAGGCAACGAUGCAUAGCCGACCUGAGAGGGUGAUCGGCCACACUGGAACUGAGGCACGGUCCAGACUCCUACGGGAGGCAGCAGUAGGGAAUCUUCCGCAAUGGGCGAAAGCCUGACGGAGCAACGCCGCGUGAGUGAUGAAGGUCUUCGGAUCGUAAAACUCUGUUAUUAGGGAAGAACAUAUGUGUAAGUAACUGUGCACAUCUUGACGGUACCUAAUCAGAGAGCCACGGCUAACUACGUG